rnacentral:rRNA from 1 species
UACAGAGGUCUCAAGCGUUGUUCGGAUUCAUUGGGCGUAAAGGGUGCGUAGGUGGCGCCGUAAGUCAGGUGUGAAAUUUCGGAGCUUAACUCCGAAACUGCAUUUGAUACUGCGGUGCUUGAGGACUGGAGAGGAGACUGGAAUUUACGGUGUAGCGGUGAAAUGCGUAGAGAUCGUAAGGAAGACCAGUGGCGAAGGCGGGUCUCUGGACAGUUCCUGACACUGAGGCACGAAGGCCAGGGGAGCAAACGGG